rnacentral:rRNA from 1 species
CCAAGGAUAAAGCCAUGCAUGUCCAAGUGCAUGCCGCAUUAAGGUGAAACCGCGAAUGGCUCAUUAAAUCAGUUAUGGUUCCUUAGAUCGUACCAUCCUACUUGGAUAACUGUGGUAAUUCUAGAGCUAAUACAUGCCGACCAGCUCCGACCUUCGGGGACGAGCGCUUUUAUUAGAACAAGACCAAUACGGAUCCGCAAGGGUCCGUUCCCGUUUGGUGACUCUGGAUAACUUGGAGCCGAUCGCACGGUCUUCGCACCGGCGACGCAUCUUUCAAAUGUCUGCCUUAUCAACUGUCGAUGGUAGGUUAUGCGCCUACCAUGGUUUUUACGGGUAACGGGGAAUCAGGGUUCGAUUCCGGAGAGGGAGCCUGAGAAACGGCUACCACAUCCAAGGAAGGCAGCAGGCACGCAAAUUACCCACUCCCGGCACGGGGAGGUAGUGACGAAAAAUAACAAUACGAGACUCUUCCGAGGCCUCGUAAUUGGAAUGAGUACACUUUAAAUCCUUUAACGAGGAUCUAUUGGAGGGCAAGUCUGGUGCCAGCAGCCGCGGUAAUUCCAGCUCCAAUAGCGUAUAUUAAAGUUGUUGCGGUUAAAAAGCUCGUAGUUGGAUCUCGGUGCCGGACCGGCGGUCCGCCUUGUGCGGUCUCACUGCCGGCUCCGGAGCCAUCCCGCCGGCCGUCCCUCGGUGCUCUUCGCUGAGUGUCUUGGGUGACCGGAACGUUUACUUUGAACAAAUUAGAGUGCUCCAAGCAGGCGCGUCCCGCCCGCAUAGCCCAGCAUGGAAUAAUGGAAUAGGACCUCGGUUCUAUUUUGUUGGUUUUCGGAACCCGAGGUAAUGAUUAAUAGGGACAGACGGGGGCAUUCGUAUUGCGACGCUAGAGGUGAAAUUCUUGGACCGUCGCAAGACGAACUACUGCGAAAGCAUUUGCCAAGAAUGUUUUCAUUAAUCAAGAACGAAAGUUAGAGGUUCGAAGGCGAUCAGAUACCGCCCUAGUUCUAACCAUAAACGAUGCCGACCAGCGAUCCGCCGGAGUUCCUCCGAUGACUCGGCGGGCAGCUUCCGGGAAACCAAAGUGUUUGGGUUCCGGGGGAAGUAUGGUUGCAAAGCUGAAACUUAAAGGAAUUGACGGAAGGGCACCACCAGGAGUGGAGCCUGCGGCUUAAUUUGACUCAACACGGGAAAACUCACCCGGCCCGGACACCGGAAGGAUUGACAGAUUGAGAGCUCUUUCUUGAUUCGGUGGGUGGUGGUGCAUGGCCGUAACGAAUGUGUUUCAAGCCUGCUAAAUAGAUGGUCGACAGGCGAUCACUUUUUAGAGGGACAAGCGGCGUUGAGCCGCCCGAGAUUGAGCAAUAACAGGUUUGUGAUGCCCUUAGAUGUCCGGGGCCGCUCGCCCGCUACACUGAAGGAGUCAGCGCGUGGUCUGUCCCUGUCCGAGAGGUCUGGGUAACCCGCUGAACCUCUUUCGUGGUAGGGAUCGGGGUUUGGAAUUGUCCCCCGUGAACGAGGAAUUCCCAGUAAGCGUGAGUCACAAACUCGCGUCGAAUAUGUCACUGCCCUUUGUACACACCGCCCGUCGAUACUACCGAUUGAAUGAUCUGGUGAGGUCUUUGGACUGGUGGUCGUAGCGGCCCUCGGGUUGCUGCGGCGUGCUGGGAAGAUGAUCAAACCUGGCCAUUUAGAGGAAGUAUA